rnacentral:rRNA from 1 species
CUAACUGGAGGACCGAACCGACUAAUGUUGAAAAAUUAGCGGAUGACUUGUGGCUGGGGGUGAAAGGCCAAUCAAACCGGGAGAUAGCUGGUUCUCCCCGAAAGCUAUUUAGGUAGCGCCUCGUGAACUCAUCUUCGGGGGUAGAGCACUGUUUCGACUAGGGGGUCAUCCCGACUUACCAACUCGAUGCAAACUACGAAUACCGAAGAAUGUUAUCACGGGAGACACACGGCGGGUGCUAACGUUCGUCGUGAAGAGGGAAACAACCCAGACCGCCAGCUAAGGUCCCAAAGUCAUAGUUAAGUGGGAAACGAAGUGGGAAGGCUCAGACAGCCAGGAUGUUGGCUUAGAAGCAGCCAUCAUUUAAAGAAAGCGUAAUAGCUCACUGGUCGAGUCGGCCUGCGCGGAAGAUGUAACGGGGCUAAACUAUGCACCGAAGCUGCGGCAGCGAUAUGUAAAUAUUGUUGGGUAGGGGAGCGUUCUGUAAGCCUGUGAAGGUGUGCUGUGAGGCAUGCUGGAGGUAUCAGAAGUGCGAAUGCUGACAUAAGUAACGAUAAUGCGGGUGAAAAACCCGCACGCCGGAAGACCAAGGGUUCCUGUCCAACGUUAAUCGGGGCAGGGUGAGUCGACCCCUAAGGCGAGGCAGAAAUGCGUAGUCGAUGGGAAACGGGUUAAUAUUCCCGUACUGGUGAUAAUUGCGAUGGGGGGACGGAGAAGGCUAGGCUAUCCGGGCGACGGUUGUCCCGGUUUAAGGAUGUAGGCAGGUGAAUUAGGCAAAUCCGGUUCACUAUAUGCUGAGGUCCGACGACGAGUCACUACGGUGAUGAAGUAGCUCAUGCCCCGCUUCCAGGAAAAGCCUCUAAGCUCUAGAUUAUCAUUAAUCGUACCCCAAACCGACACAGGUGGUCAGGUAGAGAAUACUCAGGCGCUUGAGAGAACUCGGGUGAAGGAACUAGGCAAAAUGGUGCCGUAACUUCGGGAGAAGGCACGCUGGCAUUAGGUGAAGUGAUUUACUCAUGGAGCUGAAGCCAGUCGCAGAUACCAGCUGGCUGCAACUGUUUAUUAAAAACACAGCACUGUGCAAACACGAAAGUGGACGUAUACGGUGUGACGCCUGCCCGGUGCUGGAAGGUUAAUUGAUGGGGUUAUCCGUAAGGAGAAGCUCUUGAUCGAAGCCCCAGUAAACGGCGGCCGUAACUAUAACGGUCCUAAGGUAGCGAAAUUCCUUGUCGGGUAAGUUCCGACCUGCACGAAUGGCGUAAUGAUGGCCAGGCUGUCUCCACCCGAGACUCAGUGAAAUUGAACUC